GACCUAAGCAAGCAUAAAUGUAGCUGAAAGGUUCUGUUUCUCCUUGACAAGCACAAAUUUUUUUGUGGAAACCACUGGUAGGCAUUCUUGAAAAUUCCUUCAUUGAGCUACUCUGAGUAUUCUGCUGGUCAAAUAAGAUCUCAUGGGCAUCUUCCAGCUUCCUACAAAUAGCUUGUUUGAUUAUCUCUUCUGGUAGAGUUCAUGAUAUUUUUCAAAGGAUUCAAGAGACUGUUGCUGCACUUUGAACAGAUCUUCUGAUUUAAUUUCAUCCAAAAGGAAUCCCCUUCACAUGCAGAAAAACUGCCCCACAGUGUGAGCCAACAUGGAGAUCUUAAUCCUUUAUCACCAGUGCACCAAUUAAAACAGAAAACCAAUUUAUUUUCACCUUUUGACUAAAGAAGAAAUUUAGAAAGCAGGAAAAACAUGCUUCAGAAAUGCCAAUAUUCUUCAGUAUCUAUCAGAAGACUUUCUUCUCCUUUGGGUAAAUUAGUUUGUUUAAAGAGUUACCACUUCACUCUUAUUUCUUUUUCACCUUCGGCAAGUCUCCCAGG